CUAUCUCAUUUUUUUCCCUACCAGCAGCAACCCCUCCACUCUUUCUCUACAUUCUCUUCCCCUCUCUAUCAAUAACCGUGGUUGUCGCCAACCAUCCUACCUCUAAUGCCACCUUUUUUCUUUACUCAUGCCAGAAACCACCGAAAAAAUAACAGUCGGCGGAGCUGCCAGUGCCACUGCGUCUCCCCAACCAGCCACGAGUCGCACUAACAUGCCUCCACCAAUGGAUCACUCUUCACUGAUUUCCUUCUUUUCCACUGAUAGAAAGCCAUGCAAUAGCCGCACUGCCGCCAAGACAAUAUCGGAGCUCCAUCUACAAACCCAACAAAAAACCACCAUCAUCGCUGCUCUAUUGACGAAAACAACGAAUCAAUGGUCCCUCUAGCCGUUGCUACCUCAGCACCCCUAUUUCUUAUUAAACUUCACCCAAAAAAUCAUGUGAAUCUGUGUCAUAUUUGUUUCCUCGUUAAAUUUAGUAUUAUUACCUUCUUCUACCCCU
rnacentral:lncRNA from 1 species